UUCUUAUCAAGAAAGACCGAGGGACAGGGCCCGAUGACGUCUUAGCAACCUUGUACCAGCUUGGUGCUAAUUCCCUUCUCAGCCAUAUCUUGGCUGGGAAAAGAUAAGAG
rnacentral:ncRNA from 2 species